CGUGGGCAACCUGCCUGUAAGACUGGGAUAACUUCGGGAAACCGAAGCUAAUACCGGAUAGGAUCUUCUCCUUCAUGGGAGAUGAUUGAAAGAUGGUUUCGGCUAUCACUUACAGAUGGGCCCGCGGUGCAUUAGCUAGUUGGUGAGGUAACGGCUCACCAAGGCAACGAUGCAUAGCCGACCUGAGAGGGUGAUCGGCCACACUGGGACUGAGACACGGCCCAGACUCCUACGGGAGGCAGCAGUAGGGAAUCUUCCGCAAUGGACGAAAGUCUGACGGAGCAACGCCGCGUGAGUGAUGAAGGCUUUCGGGUC
rnacentral:rRNA from 1 species